ACUCAAAUGAAUUGACGGGGACCCGCACAAGCAGCGGAGCAUGUGGUUUAAUUCGAAGAUACGCGAAAAACCUUACCAAGACUUGACAUUCAUUGCAUAGCCCCGAAAAGGGUGAAUUCAUAGCAAUAUGACAAUGGGACAGAUGGUGCAUGGUUGUCGUCAGCUCGUGUCGUGAGAUGUUCGGUUAAGUCCGUCAACGAGCGCAACCCUCGUCUUCAGUUGCCAGCAUUAAGUUGGGCACUCUGGAGAGACUGCCGUGGUUAACGCGGAGGAAGGUGGGGAUGAUGUCAAAUCAUCAUGCCUCUUACGUCUUGGGCUACACACGUGCUACAAUGGUGACUACAAAGAGCGGCAAGCUGGCAACAGUAAGCGAAUCUCAAAAAAGUCAUCUCAAUUCGGAUUGUGGGCUGAAACUCGCCCACAUGAAGUCGGAGUUGCUAGUAAUCCCGAAUCAGCAUGUCGGGGUGAAUGCGUUCCCGGGUCUUGUACACACCGCCCGU
rnacentral:rRNA from 1 species